rnacentral:rRNA from 1 species
CCCGCCGCGCGGCGGGCGGGGCGGGGGCACGGGGGGAGGAAAGUAGGGGAUCGCAAGACCUUGCGCUAUUGGAGCGGCCGAUGUCGGAUUAGCUAGUUGGUGAGGUAAAAGCUCACCAAGGCGACGAUCCGUAGCUGGUCUGAGAGGACGACCAGCCACACUGGGACUGAGACACGGCCCAGACUCCUACGGGAGGCAGCAGUGGGGAAUUUUGGACAAUGGGCNAAAGCCUGAUCCAGCCAUGCCGCGUGUGUGAAGAAGGCCUUCGGGUUGUAAAGCACUUUUGUCCGGAACGAAACGGCGNNGACNAAUAANNNCCGUUAAUGACGGUACCGGAAGAAUAAGCACCGGCUAACUACGUGCCAGCAGCCGCGGUAAUACGUAGGGUGCAAGC